CCCAGAUCGUUUACCGUGAAAAAAUUAGAGUGUUCAAAGCAGGCAGAUCCAAUUUUCUGCCACCGAAUACAUUAGCAUGGGAUAAUGGAAUAGGACCCUGUCCUCCUAUUUUCAGUUGGUUUUGGCAGCGCGAGGACUAGGGUAAUGAUUAAUAGGGAUAGUUGGGGGCAUUAAUAUUUAAUUGUCAGAGGUGAAAUUCUUGGAUUUAUGAAAGAUUAACUUCUGCGAAAGCAUCUGCCAAGGAUGUUUUCAUUAAUCAAGAACGAAAGUUAGGGGAUCGAAGACGAUCAGAUACCGUCGUAGUCUUAACCAUAAACGAUGCCGACCAGCGAUUAGGAGACGUUGAAUACAAAACACCACCAUCGGCGCGGUCGUCCCUGGCUCGUCGUCUCACGACGGCGGGCGGGGGCGGYUUAGCCCGAUGGCACCGGUGAAUGACUCCCCUAGCAGCUUGUG
rnacentral:rRNA from 1 species